rnacentral:sRNA from 1 species
UACAUAUGUAUAUAUUAUUGCAAUAUGUGUGAUAUGCUGUUAAGUUAAUAGUAACAUAAAUAAAUAUACUUUAAAAUGGCGAAACUCUUACGCAUGAUAUGUAAUGGAGAUAGAACUAAGAAGAACGCACUCUUGUUCGAGACUUCUAUUGAUCUCAACAUAAAUAGCUAAAGAUUACUCUCGCAACAGUAACAAGCUUGUUAUAGAAGACGAUAGGACUGAUUCUGCGAUGCAUACUGGAAGAUAAUAUUGAUUGGCUAUAUAUAUCAACCUGGGCCACAAAUAACAACAUCAAAACAGUGCCAACACAAAUAAUUCGGAACAUUCUUAGCACAGCCCCAGGAUCAAGCAAAGUAAGUUCUUUUAACUGGCCGACAAUGCAGCUCCAAAUGUUGAUCAGAACUUGGUGGCAAUAACCUUCGGAUGAAAAACUUAUUUCUAAGGAUUCAACGUAUAAAUUUGUAUUGGCUUCCAAAGGUCACCACAACUUCAAAACAUUUGUUAUCAAACCAAGAAUCGCCCAGCAUGAAAUAUUUAUUUUAUUUCCUUUUAAAUAUAAUAAAAUACU